AUGAAAAAUCUGGCGUAAAUAUUCUGUCAACGUUUACCGCAGUCAGCGGCUUACUACGAUUGCAGGAGUAUGGACGGAAGAGAAGUGGAUAUCUUUUUAGUAAAGUAAAAUGACGAACAAUAUGACAUAUGUACGAGCUGGACGAAACUUCUGAAAUCGAGACCCCCUAAAAUGGCAGUGUCGACAUAGCUUUACUU